CACGUGACUAACCUACCUCCGAGUGGGGAAUAACUCCGGGAAACCGGGGCUAAUACCGCAUAACACUGUGAAGUCAAAGCAGCAAUGCGCUUGGAGAGGGGGUCGCGGCUGAUUAGCUAGUUGGCGGGGUAACGGCCUACCAAGGCGACGAUCCGUAGCUGGUCUGAGAGGACGACCAGCCACACUGGGACUGAGACACGGCCCAGACUCCUACGGGAGGCAGCAGUGGGGAAUAUUGGACAAUGGGGGAAACCCUGAUCCAGCGACGCCGCGUGUGUGAAGAAGGCCUGCGGGUUGUAA
rnacentral:rRNA from 1 species